GUAUUAAUAGAUAACAAAAGAAAUAGAUCUUUUGUUUCCCUGGAUAGACACAGAUUCAUUUUGCCGUUUUUGCACAUAUAGCCACUGUGUUUGAGACUAAAUUAUUCACACUUCGGAACCCCUCAGAAAGAUUGCCAAUGACUAUGAUUCCACCUUUAUUUUAUGGGUUUUCAGAAACAAAGCUAAGAUCCUCUGGGGACAGGAUGCUGGAACUAUCACAUAAAAAUGUGUUCAUCCUGAACAAUUACCCUCAUUGGUAAUAAAAGACAUUUUAAAAUGUCAUGUUAUCAAAAACUGCAAGACUUAACUUUCAUGUUACUAAAAACUUACAGAAAAGAACGGUCUUUAUUACACUUUUUUGCAUCUUCCAAGGAGCAGGGGCCAUAUCUCAGUAAUCAUUUUAACACUUACAACUCUUGAACAGGGCUUUCUUUGUCCACAGUAAAAUUACGUUUGGGGCCCAGGUUGAUUGGUGCUCACAGCUCUAGUCCCUUAGUUCCAAACACUACUUGUUUAUCUUCAGCUUUCAUCCUCAUCUUCCAAUAGCUAAUAGUAUGGGAGAAUUAAUGGAACAGGGGAUACACAGAUUUUGUUUCUGAAUUAAGGCAACUUUAUGGUCUUUCCAGAGGAUAUUUUUCCCUAUACCAUAUUUAUAUUUUCCUCUUUUGCUGAUGAUGAAAAAAAAGUUGCUUGCCAGGAAAUGCUUGUCUUCUCCUAUGCCUUAUGAUAGUUGUAAUGAAAAUAGAAAUUAGAAUGACCUUAAAUCCCUGUACCAUAUUGUAUCUUUACGUCAACUACAUAUGGUAUCAAGGGAUAGGGGAGAGGGAGAGGAAAGUUGUUAGAGUGAUGUGAAUUUGGGAUAGACUUUCCAAUAUAAACACCUUUUGAUUUCUUCUACACUGACAUGAAUUAUUUGAAAUAAAUUACUGUUAUAACAAAUGUUUAUUUGACCAGGCUACAUAGAAGAGAUUUAUUUUCAAAUUGAGAUAGAAAUGUGGGGCCAUAAACAAACCUUAGGAGUGUUUGGUGCCCUUCAGAACAUUGCUG
rnacentral:lncRNA from 1 species